rfam:Camelus ferus unplaced genomic scaffold scaffold16594, whole genome shotgun sequence.
GGAGGGAACAGCUCAGUGGUAGAGCAUGUGCUUAGCACGCACGAGGUCCUAGGUUCAAUCCCCAGCACCUCCG